rnacentral:rRNA from 1 species
GGGUUGUGAGGUUAAGCGACUAAGCGUACACGGUGGAUGCCCUGGCAGUCAGAGGCGAUGAAGGACGUGCUAAUCUGCGAAAAGCGUCGGUAAGGUGAUAUGAACCGUUAUAACCGGCGAUGUCCGAAUGGGGAAACCCAGUGCAAUUCGUUGCACUAUCGUUAACUGAAUACAUAGGUUAACGAGGCGAACCGGGGGAACUGAAACAUCUAAGUACCCCGAGGAAAAGAAAUCAACCGAGAUUCCCCCAGUAGCGGCGAGCGAACGGGGAGCAGCCCAGAGUCUGAAUCAGCUUGUGUGUUAGUGGAACGGUCUGGAAAGUCCGACGGUACAGGGUGAUAGUCCCGUACACCAAAAUGCACAGGUUGUGAACUCGAAGAGUAGGGCGGGACACGUGGUAUCCUGUCUGAAUAUGGGGGGACCAUCCUCCAAGGCUAAAUACUCCUGACUGACCGAUAGUGAACCAGUACCGUGAGGGAAAGGCGAAAAGAACCCCGGCGAGGGGAGUGAAAAAGAACCUGAAACCGUGUACGUACAAGCAGUGGGAGCACCUUCGGGUGUGACUGCGUACCUUUUGUAUAAUGGGUCAGCGACUUAUAUUCUGUAGCAAGGUUAACCGUAUAGGGGAGCCGCAGGGAAACCGAGUCUUAACUGGGCGUUAAGUUGCAGGGUAUAGACCCGAAACCCGGUGAUCUAGCCAUGGGCAGGUUGAAGGUUGGGUAACACUAACUGGAGGACCGAACCGACUAAUGUUGAAAAAUUAGCGGAUGACUUGUGGCUGGGGGUGAAAGGCCAAUCAAACCGGGAGAUAGCUGGUUCUCCCCGAAAGCUAUUUAGGUAGCGCCUCGUGAAUUCAUCUUCGGGGGUAGAGCACUGUUUCGGCUAGGGGGUCAUCCCGACUUACCAACCCGAUGCAAACUACGAAUACCGAAGAAUGUUAUCACGGGAGACACACGGCGGGUGCUAACGUCCGUCGUGAAGAGGGAAACAACCCAGACCGCCAGCUAAGGUCCCAAAGUCAUGGUUAAGUGGGAAACGAUGUGGGAAGGCACAGACAGCCAGGAUGUUGGCUUAGAAGCAGCCAUCAUUUAAAGAAAGCGUAAUAGCUCACUGGUCGAGUCGGCCUGCGCGGAAGAUGUAACGGGGCUAAACCAUGCACCGAAGCUGCGGCAGCGACACUAUGUGUUGUUGGGUAGGGGAGCGUUCUGUAAGCCUGCGAAGGUGACCUGUGAGGGUUGCUGGAGGUAUCAGAAGUGCGAAUGCUGACAUAAGUAACGAUAAAGCGGGUGAAAAGCCCGCUCGCCGGAAGACCAAGGGUUCCUGUCCAACGUUAAUCGGGGCAGGGUGAGUCGACCCCUAAGGCGAGGCCGAAAGGCGUAGUCGAUGGGAAACAGGUUAAUAUUCCUGUACUUGGUGUUACUGCGAAGGGGGGACGGAGAAGGCUAUGUUAGCCGGGCGACGGUUGUCCCGGUUUAAGCAUGUAGGCUGGUUAUCCAGGCAAAUCCGGAUAAUCAAGGCUGAGGUGUGAUGACGAGGCACUACGGUGCUGAAGUAACAAAUGCCCUGCUUCCAGGAAAAGCCUCUAAGCAUCAGGUAACAUCAAAUCGUACCCCAAACCGACACAGGUGGUCAGGUAGAGAAUACCAAGGCGCUUGAGAGAACUCGGGUGAAGGAACUAGGCAAAAUGGUGCCGUAACUUCGGGAGAAGGCACGCUGGUGUGUAGGUGAAGUCCCUGCGGAUGGAGCUGAGACCAGUCGAAGAUACCAGCUGGCUGCAACUGUUUAUUAAAAACACAGCACUGUGCAAACACGAAAGUGGACGUAUACGGUGUGACGCCUGCCCGGUGCCGGAAGGUUAAUUGAUGGGGUUAUCCGUAAGGAGAAGCUCUUGAUCGAAGCCCCGGUAAACGGCGGCCGUAACUAUAACGGUCCUAAGGUAGCGAAAUUCCUUGUCGGGUAAGUUCCGACCUGCACGAAUGGCGUAAUGAUGGCCAGGCUGUCUCCACCCGAGACUCAGUGAAAUUGAACUCGCUGUGAAGAUGCAGUGUACCCGCGGCAAGACGGAAAGACCCCGUGAACCUUUACUAUAGCUUGACACUGAACAUUGAGCCUUGAUGUGUAGGAUAGGUGGGAGGCUUUGAAGCGUGGACGCCAGUCUGCGUGGAGCCAACCUUGAAAUACCACCCUUUAAUGUUUGAUGUUCUAACGUUGGCCCCUUACCGGGGUUGCGGACAGUGUCUGGUGGGUAGUUUGACUGGGGCGGUCUCCUCCCAAAGCGUAACGGAGGAGCACGAAGGUUAGCUAAUCCUGGUCGGACAUCAGGAGGUUAGUGCAAUGGCAUAAGCUAGCUUGACUGCGAGCGUGACGGCGCGAGCAGGUGCGAAAGCAGGUCAUAGUGAUCCGGUGGUUCUGAAUGGAAGGGCCAUCGCUCAACGGAUAAAAGGUACUCCGGGGAUAACAGGCUGAUACCGCCCAAGAGUUCAUAUCGACGGCGGUGUUUGGCACCUCGAUGUCGGCUCAUCACAUCCUGGGGCUGAAGUAGGUCCCAAGGGUAUGGCUGUUCGCCAUUUAAAGUGGUACGCGAGCUGGGUUUAGAACGUCGUGAGACAGUUCGGUCCCUAUCUGCCGUGGGCGCUGGAGAAUUGAGGGGGGCUGCUCCUAGUACGAGAGGACCGGAGUGGACGCAUCACUGGUGUUCGGGUUGUCAUGCCAAUGGCACUGCCCGGUAGCUAAAUGCGGAAGAGAUAAGUGCUGAAAGCAUCUAAGCACGAAACUUGCCCCGAGAUGAGUUCUCCCUGAGACUUUAAGUCUCCUGAAGGAACGUUGAAGACGACGACGUUGAUAGGCCGGGUGUGUAAGCGCAGCGAUGCGUUGAGCUAACCGGUACUAAUGAACCGUGAGGCUUAACCUUACAACGCCGAAG